GACGUAGGGCGCGAGCGUUGUCCGGAUUUAUUGGGCGUAAAGAGCUCGUAGGCGGCUCGUUGCGUCGGCUGUGAAAACCCGCAGCUCAACUGUGGGCUUGCAGCCGAUACGGGCGGGCUUGAGUUCGGUAGGGGAGACUGGAAUUCCUGGUGUAGCGGUGAAAUGCGCAGAUAUCAGGAGGAACACCGGUGGCGAAGGCGGGUCUCUGGGCCGAUAUUGACGCUGAGGAGCGAAAGCGUGGGGAGCGAACAGG
rnacentral:rRNA from 1 species